rnacentral:lncRNA from 1 species
AUGCACUUAUUUUUAAAGGAAUAAAAGAACUUUGAAAUCAUACUUAAUAUAUUGCUAUUAUACUCCAAAAAGAAAAUUAGUUCAAUUGCUCUCAUGCUGCUAAAAUACUUAAUAUAUUGGGCAAAAGAUCUUAAAUGAACAAGCUUUCAUACUUAUUAUUAAAGAAUGAUUAGAUUUUCAUUCGUGCUUUCUUUGAAUAUCAUUCUUGGUACUUCUUGAAUUAACUUCAGAAAGUUUCCACCUACACUUG